CCGCUUAACACAUGCAAGUCGAGGGGCAGCAUUCCUGUUUGCUUGCAAACUGGAGAUGGCGACCGGCGCACGGGUGAGUAACACGUAUCCAACCUGCCGAUAACUCGGGGAUAGCCUUUCGAAAGAAAGAUUAAUACCCGAUGGUAUAAUCAGACCGCAUGGUCUUGUUAUUAAAGAAUUUCGGUUAUCGAUGGGGAUGCGUUCCAUUAGGCAGUUGGUGAGGUAACGGCUCACCAAACCUUCGAUGGAUAGGGGUUCUGAGAGGAAGGUCCCCCACAUUGGAACUGAGACACGGUCCAAACUCCUACGGGAGGCAGCAGUGAGGAAUAUUGGUCAAUGGGCGCAGGCCUGAACCAGCCAAGUAGCGUGAAGGAUGACUGCCCUAUGGGUUGUAAACUUCUUUUAUAUGGGAAUAAAGUUUUCCACGUGUGGAAUUUUGUAUGUACCAUAUGAAUAAGGAUCGGCUAACUCCGUGCCAGCAGCCGCGGUAAUACGGAGGAUCCGAGCGUUAUCCGGAUUUAUUGGGUUUAAAGGGAGCGUAGGUGGACAGUUAAGUCAGUUGUGAAAGUUUGCGGCUCAACCGUAAAAUUGCAGUUGAUACUGGCUGUCUUGAGUACAGUAGAGGUGGGCGGAAUUCGUGGUGUAGCGGUGAAAUGCUUAGAUAUCACGAAGAACUCCGAUUGCGAAGGCAGCUCACUGGACUGCAACUGACACUGAUGCUCGAAAGUGUGGGUAUCAAACAGGAUUAGAUACCCUGGUAGUCCACACAGUAAACGAUGAAUACUCGCUGUUUGCGAUAUACAGUAAGCGGCCAAGCGAAAGCAUUAAGUAUUCCACCUGGGGAGUACGCCGGCAACGGUGAAACUCAAAGGAAUUGACGGGGGCCCGCACAAGCGGAGGAACAUGUGGUUUAAUUCGAUGAUACGCGAGGAACCUUACCCGGGCUUAAAUUGCAUUUGAAUAUAUUGGAAACAGUAUAGCCGUAAGGCAAAUGUGAAGGUGCUGCAUGGUUGUCGUCAGCUCGUGCCGUGAGGUGUCGGCUUAAGUGCCAUAACGAGCGCAACCCUUAUCUUUAGUUACUAACAGGUCAUGCUGAGGACUCUAGAGAGACUGCCGUCGUAAGAUGUGAGGAAGGUGGGGAUGACGUCAAAUCAGCACGGCCCUUACGUCCGGGGCUACACACGUGUUACAAUGGGGGGUACAGAAGGCAGCUACCUGGUGACAGGAUGCUAAUCCCAAAAGCCUCUCUCAGUUCGGAUCGAAGUCUGCAACCCGACUUCGUGAAGCUGGAUUCGCUAGUAAUCGCGCAUCAGCCAUGGCGCGGUGAAUACGUUCCCGGGCCUUGUACACACCGCCCGUCAAGCCAUGAAAGCCGGGGGUACCUGAAGUACGUAACCGCAAGGAGCGUCCUAGGGUAAAACUGGUAAUUGGGG
rnacentral:rRNA from 1 species